GUACCCAAUUGUGACUAAACCAAAAGAAACAAAUCUGGAAACUGAAGUAUCAAUACGUGAAAAGCGUUCUUUUGGUAUUGGGAGUGCCAGUUGUCUUUGUUUCAUGAACUACUUCUCCGUAAUAGCAUGCAGCCAUCUUCAAGAGGUGAGAAUUUCACUUAGCGACUUAAACAGAAGUGUUAUCUCAAGAUAAUAUAAUAUCUGGAGGGAGAGGCACCAGAGCUCACUCUCUCUGCUGCAGCACAGAGGAAAGGCCAUACAAACACACAGGGAGAAAGCCACCAUCUGCGAGCAGAGGAGUGGGGCCUCACCAGAAACCAACCCUGCUGGCACCUUGAUCCUGGAAUUCCAGCCUCAGAACUCGGAUAAAAUAAAUUUAUGUGAUUUAUUACACCAA
ensembl:lncRNA LINC02109 long intergenic non-protein coding RNA 2109